AUUGAACGCUGGCGGCAGGCCUAACACAUGCAAGUCGAACGAGUGGCGGACGGAUGAGUAAUGUCUGGGAAACUGCCUGAUGGAGGGGGAUAACUACUGGAAACGGUAGCUAAUACCGCAUACCAUCGGAUGUGCCCAGAUGGGAUUAGCUAGUAGGUGGGGUAAAGGCUCACCUAGGCGACGAUCCCUAGCUGGUCUGAGAGGAUGACCGGACACACUGGAACUGAGACACGGUCAAGAGUCCGACGAGGGGAAGCAGUGGGGAAUGUGGCACAAUGGGCGCAAGCCUGAUGCAGCCAUGCAGCGUGGAUGAAGAAGGCAUUCGGGUUGUAAAGUACUUUCAGCGGAGAGGCGUUACCCGCAGAAGAAGCACCGGCUAACUCCGUGCCAGCAGCCGCGGUAAUUC
rnacentral:rRNA from 1 species